AUGAACGCUGACGGCGUGCCUAAUACAUGCAAGUCGAGCGAACGGACGAGAAGCUUGCUUCUCUGAUGUUAGCGGCGGACGGGUGAGUAACACGUGGAUAACCUACCUAUAAGACUGGGAUAACUUCGGGAAACCGGAGCUAAUACCGGAUAAUAUUUUGAACCGCAUGGUUCAAAAGUGAAAGACGGUCUUGCUGUCACUUAUAGAUGGAUCCGCGCUGCAUUAGCUAGUUGGUAAGGUAACGGCUUACCAAGGCAACGAUGCAUAGCCGACCUGAGAGGGUGAUCGGCCACACUGGAACUGAGACACGGUCCAGACUCCUACGGGAGGCAGCAGUAGGGAAUCUUCCGCAAUGGGCGAAAGCCUGACGGAGCAACGCCGCGUGAGUGAUGAAGGUCUUCGGAUCGUAAAACUCUGUUAUUAGGGAAGGACAUAUGUGUAAGUAACUGUGCACAUCUUGACGGUACCUAAUCAGAAAGCCACGGCUAACUACGUG
rnacentral:rRNA from 1 species